GACAAGUAUUUUUAACCCUUUCCAGACAGAUAUGUACCUUGGAAGAUCUGUGGAAGAAAAUAUCUAAGUGCUGAAGAGUUAAAACCUGGAUAUUCCAAGUACAACUAUGUAUAUUUGGCAAAGUGCUACAAAGAUCUUGGACAAAAACAAAAUGCUUUGAUGUACUGUGAUUCUGCUUUGCUAAUUAGUUCUAAUAAUAAAAAGCUUUGGGGCCGAUCUGAUUAACAAGCCUUAAUCAAUCUGGGAGCAGGGUGUCCCCUAAAAAUUGAUGCCCAAAGCUACAGCCAAAAUGAGCCAUUCAGGACCAGGGUGCUUGUGGACUGUAUGUAGAAGAUAAUGCUCAUGAGAGUGGAUGACCUGGCCCGCUUAUCUUCAGUUACUUUUUUAAAGGAUUACCUUGUGGCUUACUUUUUUCAUUUUCUUCUUUCUGUCGUCGUUGAUUUUGCUGCAUUUGGGGGCACUUUUCUGAUUAUUCAAGGUGGUGAGGAGAGAGGUACAUCUUUGGUUAACUCCCACUUGAAUAUAUAUACUCAAAAUACAUAUUUUGUUUCUGUGAUUUGUUUUUUCACACAAUCAUUCAGGACACCAUUAUUUAGUCUACAUAUGAGUACAUAUCUAUUCCAUGUGUUCUUCGUAUCAAUUCUUUAUUAUUAUUAUAAUCUAGUAAGAGAUCUACUUAGUAUUUUUGCCUUUCCCCAUCUAUUUAUAAUUUCUUCAUGUCCUGGUCCAUACUCAAUUUUUAUGAAGAAAGCAUGCGAUGCUAAGACUUUUGCAUGUUCUUUAAUAUUCUUACUCAUCAGACAUCAUCUUUGAAAUCUAAAUUUCCCAAUAGUGGGUUAUUUUCUUUUUAUCUUUUUGUUAGGUUAAUCUGGCACUACAACUUCAUUAUCAUCUAUGCCUUUCUGCAAUUCAGUUAGUUUCAUCUUUAAGAACUUAGACACUUGUUAGACACUCCAUAUACUUAAUAUCAUAGUUUUGUCAUAUAUAGUGCCUUUAAGCAUUAUGUAGUUUGACAUUGUCAGUUUUUACCGUUAUCAUACCAGAAAUCAUGAUUUCAAUCCCCCCUCCCCUUUUUUGGAAUUAGCCUGAAGCAUAUUAUAUUUAAUUUUUUUUUUUGGUGUGUUUCAAAAUAUUUAGGAAAUUAUUGGGUUUUGUUCUUAUCCAUUCCUCCACUCCUUUUUCCUGGGGGAGGGGGAAUAGGAUUUAAGCCAUUCACAUCUAAUGUUAUAAGUGUUAGAUUUGUGUUUUUCUACCUUUAACUCAGGUGAAUGGGAGGGUGGGGUGGGGAGAGUUUUACAACCUUUUCUGCUCUUAAGUCAGCACUUGGUCUCCUUGAUUAGUUUUGUUUGUUAAUCUGACCAAUCUCCUGCCACAGACUUACCCAUCUCCUCCCUUCUCCAGUACUGUGCCCAGUCCCAAGUUCCUGAAUUUGGUUUUAUUUCUUCUUUUCCUUCUUCCCUUUCCCAGCUUGGAUGAGACUACAGUUUAGAAUGUUCUCUGAUAUGAACCUUCUGGGACCUCUGAAUUUGUCAUCCACCUUAUUCCCUUCCUAUUCGAGGAUAUUCUGAAAGGGAAUCUGAUUCUACAUACGGGCUUUAUAAUCAACUCUCAUAAGAGAUAAGGCUUCUGGAAAACAACAACCUUGCUCCCACUUUAGUCCAAUUCAUUUAUUAGUGCUAUUGUAGAUUUUAGCCACUCUGUUCUUCUCCAUUCCUUUUUAGUUUAUUUUGUUUUUCUGAAAAGCAUCCCUUUGCAAAGUCUGACUCCCAGAAAUGCUGCUUUAUGAAGGCAGCUUUGUGGUAUGGUAGAAGUUGCUCUAUAUCUCUUUUCAUAGGAUAUCUCAUUCUCUUCUUAAACCUUUACAGACUAGCUUCCAAUCUCAUUGAACCUAAAUUGUUCUCCCUGAAGUUACUAAUGAUCUCUUAAUUGCCAAUCAAAUGGCCUUUCCUCAAUCCUCAUUCUUCCUGAUCUCUCUGCAGCCCUUGGCACUGUUGAUCCCCCUCUGCUCCCAGAUACUCUCUAGGUUUUUGGAGUGCUACUGUCUCCUGGUUCUCCUAAUUAUUUGCCCCUUUCUCCUAGCGAUCUUUUCCUACUCCACCACAGGCCCCGAGACAGGGGGAAAGGCUGAAGAAAUCCCCUUUUCUUUCCAAGGUAAUGCUGAGGAUGCCUAUAUCACUUUGGUUCCCUCCCCUCUCUUCAUUCUCAUUUUCCCCUUGCCCCACCCCCAUUCCCACCGCACUCUGAUUUAUUUAUGAGGAAAAGUGGGUUUUAGUCCAAAUAAUACAAAUCCUUCUUCCUUCUCUCCUGCUAAUUCCUUAACCCCUUUGGUCAUUAGCCUCUUAGAUCCUUUUGCAGCUAGGUUUCUCUCCCUGACCCCCAACUAAGCAGAGAUUUAAAAAUAGCCUUCUUUCCCUAGAAGCCAUUGAACAAUGAUUUUGUUACUUUCUGUUUUCUGUAUUUAUUUACUUUCCUCAGUUUUCUCUUGAUGAAAUUAUUUGCUUGUCAAUCAUUUACUGUAUAACAUUUAUAUAUGUAGUUCUAUUAUUUUCUAGAUUGUUUGCUCCUUUCCCCUUGUUUCAAUGCAUUGAAUGUCUAUCUGCCUAGAGGCUGGCCUUAUUACACCCAACUUUUCUCUCCUAGCCUCCCUGCUUACCAUCCCUUUUCAUCUGUUCCAAAUAUAUUUUUAUCAGGACUCAUUAACUUGUUUGAUUCCUUUCUCCAUAUAAUGAAUGCUCCUUGCUUUUGUCUGCAUAACCAGAUCUACCAACUUGAGUUAAGUGCUAGGGGAUAGAAUCCAGGUGGAUAUCUGUCUUGAAGAAACUCCAUGGAAAGAGGACUAUAGCUGAGCUUAUACCACCCUCUUUUACACACCACACAAGUCCCUUCCCCUCUGAUUGGCUUUGUAUUUCUGAGUCUCUCCACCGUCUAGAGUAACCCAAUUUCUCUGCCACUGAGGCUGGAUGAGAUCUGAGUGAACUUUCAGGGGACAGAAGAGAUGCCACCAUAUCCCACACAGGAAAUUCAGGCCUAAUGAGAUGAUCACCCCAGGAGCAAGAGGGGCUCAGUGCUUUGAGGGGAAGUGGGUUCAUCAAUCUUCUGACGUCAUUUUAGAAGCCUUUACGUUGUAGGAAAGAGUUUCCUUCCCACUCUUUUUGUGGUAACUGAAAUUGCUUUCUGAGACAUAUUUGUAAUGGGGGUGAGGGUUCAAGGUAUGCUAAUAUAUAGAUUUCUCACUCUUGCA